GGAGCACAGCUCAGUAGUAGAGCAGCUGCUUUUCAUGCAGAAUGUCCCAAAUUCAAUCCCUGGCAUCUCCA